UACCAGCCCUGCUCACGAUAGAGCUGCGUUAAUGCGCAGAUCACUUCCAGCGUCUCGUCUUCGGUCGCUACCUUGGCGAGAAACUCGGUACCCUUGAUGUGAAGGCCGGCGGCACCGGCGAAAUGGAUCUCGUAUCCGGAAUCGACGCAAACCACCCCGACAUCCUUGCAGGUCGCUUCGGCGCAGUUGCGCGGGCAACCCGACACCGCAAGCUUC
rnacentral:misc_RNA from 1 species